rnacentral:rRNA from 1 species
AGCCAAUAGAUACCCAGGUAGUCCUGGCCUUAAACGAUGAUCACUAGGUGUAGGAGGCUUCGACCCUUCUGCGCCGCCGCUAACGCAUUAAGUGAUCCGCCUGGGGAGUACGGCCGCAAGGUUAAAACUCAAAGGAAUUGACGGGGGCCCGCACAAGCAGUGGAGCAUGUGGUUUAAUUCGAUGCUACGCGAAAACCUUACCAGGGUUUGACAUCCCGGUGAAACCCCAUAGAAAUAUGGGGCCCCUUCGGGCACCGGUGACAGGUGGUGCAUGGUUGUCGUCAGCUCGUGCCGUGAGGUGUUGGAUUAAGUUCCGCAACGAGCGCAACCCUCGUUGCUAGUUGCCAUCAUUAAGUUGGGCACUCUAGCGAGACUGCCAGCGUCAAGCUGGAGGAAGGUGGGGAUGACGUCAAAUCAUCAUGCCCCUUACAUCCUGGGCUACACACGUGCUACAAUGGCCGGUACAACAGGUUGCUACCUCGCGAGAGGAUGCGAAUCCCCAAAGCCGGUCUCAGUUCGGAUUGCAGGCU